UGAGGAAUAUUGGUCAAUGGGCGAGAGCCUGAACCAGCCAAGUAGCGUGCAGGAUGACGGCCCUAUGGGUUGUAAACUGCUUUUAUGUGGGGAUAAAGUGCGUGACGUGUCAUUCAUUGCAGGUACCACAUGAAUAAGGACCGGCUAAUUCCGUGCCAGCAGCCGCGGUAAUACGGAAGGUCCGGGCGUUAUCCGGAUUUAUUGGGUUUAAAGGGAGCGUAGGCUGUCUAUUAAGCGUGUUGUGAAAUUUACCGGCUCAACCGGUGGCUUGCAGCGCGAACUGGUCGACUUGAGUAUGCAGGAAGUAGGCGGAAUUCAUGGUGUAGCGGUGAAAUGCUUAGAUAUCAUGACGAACUCCGAUUGCGCAGGCAGCUUACUGUAGCAUAACUGACGCUGAUGCUCGAAAGUGCGGGUAUCAAACAGG
rnacentral:rRNA from 1 species